rnacentral:lncRNA from 1 species
UGUAUGCUCUUGUAUAGGCCAUCCAUCACCUCUUCAUCUUGCUCAAUAUUGGAGUUCUCAUAAAAGAACUCAGGGUUUAAAUAAUGGCCAGUUGUGUGCAAAGGACGAUGUAGUGGAUAUUCCCGCCAAGCAUCAAUAAUUUUAAUGACCUCUUUGUACCUCUCUUCUCUACCACUGAAAGACUUGGUAAUAGUUUUUUUGCCCUAUCCAUAGCCUCAUUGAUAUAUCCCAUAGGAGGUUUUUUUCUUUCCAUCCACCAAUCGAAGGACACGAACAAGAGGGCCGGA